rnacentral:tRNA from 1 species
GGCUAGGUGGCGGAGUGGUUAACGCGGUAGACUCGAAUAAUUUCGAUGUUAUCUACUUCCUUCGGGAGCGUCUGUUCGAAUCAGGCCCUAGUCG